UUGCAGUAUUUUUGUUGUGAGGAGAAGCUCAGUCUGUUUUUGGACUUUGUGUUUUCCUUUGCCCUUGUGGACCUCGCCUUUUGUUAAAUAAACUGUUAAACUAUACCAUGAAUCUUAACACUAGGUGCUCUUGCUGGGUUGAGCAACAGCCAUGCACGUGCCAUUGCUAAUAAGUCACAAUGAACAGACAGUGAAGCCGAUGUGAGUCAGCAGUUCUCUGCACUGAACACCAGAAUGUUGCCAUUGAGGAGAGGAUGGCUGUUUUUAAAUCCAACAACUGCUCCAGUGUGGAAGAACAAGAAAAAAGACGAGUGAACAAUUAUGGAAGCGGCCUGUCUCCUACACAACUCUGAGGGAAAUUGCAAGCACCAUGAUGCUGAGCAAGGGUUAGAUUUACUGAAUAGGCAUGCAUUGUACUGUAUAAAAGUAAAUCUAUUUUUUUUUUGGAUAUCCUUGACAAGGCAGUCAUAUCCUUUUUGGUCUCUGGACUUACAUGAUGUGGAUCAUGAUGCCGUUGUGUCUGUUGGAAGCGAGGCAGUGUACUGGCAGAUGAAGUGGCGUUCUACACUAUAGAUCUGAUGUCAAAUGAGGAAGAUUGCAGCUUUGAGGGGGGUGCGACCCCCAAGUUUCAGCAGCCAGGAGCUCACCCCGACCUCUUUUGCACGCUUCAGAGCAGGCUGGUGGCUAAUCCAAAGCACUGCAUCACAGGCGUCUGUUGAAUGGAUCAUGUUCUGACAGCCACCACCACAUGACUCAGAGGUGGA